CUGCUCUUUAGGCCUUCAUCAUACUGUCUGCUUGAUUGACUUCUAUCUUUGCUGUUCUUUGUGGGCAUCAGAGCCCACGCACUGGCCUGAGCAGUGUACAUGUAUCCUUUGCUUUCUGAGAAGAAACUAAGAUGGAAAAUGUACCAACUCUCACAUGUUGCCUGGGCACCUUAGGUCAUUAAGGAUAAUGGAGAUCCUGGUGGUCCCAGCUGAGAUAGGCACUUAGACUGUGUGUGUCUUGGCCGGAGGACUGAGUCAGCAAAGAACCACCACAAACAGGUAGAAAGAGAGUGCAGACACACGCACUUGGCCAGGGGAUGCUCACAAGAGGCAAGUACAUCCCAUAACAUGUACCUAUACUGGAAAAUAUAUUCUUAUGGCCGGUAACCAGAAGGUGACAUGUUCCUUUCAGGCUGAGAGUAACAGACGCUAAUCUCCCAUUUGGGUCAUUGUGUAUUGUGUGUCUCCAUGGAGGCCUAUUUGCAUACAGAGCCAGAUGCUGAUUAAGAGAUUGCAAAAUCCACAAGAAAGGAGUAUUCAUGAAAAACAACCAGCAGGGAGGCAUCGUGUUUAUGAAUAAGGACAAUGGAUUGUUCUGAUGUAUCUGGGGAUGCAAACAAGUGUUCUGGAUCUUCCAUCGAGGACAUAAGAGCGGAAAGCCUGACUUGUCUCAUGGACAGAAGAUCAUAGUCAAGCCUGUCUGUAAAACACUGGAAGAACUUUGGGUGAACAUUACUCUAUAAGACAGGAAAGUAUCUAGUUAAGUCUAGAUUUUAGAAUGCGUGUUAUGAUUUUAUAUAUAACCACAUUUCUAAUACUUCUAGUUUACUAUCACUUGAAUCUCUAUGUUUUGUUAAAUAAUUUUUUACUUGUUCUCACUAUAAACAUAUGUGACUGCUGUAUGUUAUGCAGAGUGGUGAUCUCAUGUGAAUGCUGUAUGUUAUGCAGAGUGGUGAGCUCCAGUGGUAAACGGGCGUGUACUGCUUCUUUGGGGAGCUAAGCUGUAAAUAGUGCAAGCGUCCAGUGAAACAGCAUCUGGAGCUUUCCCAGAAACACCAAAUCUUGUAAGCUUUGUGACAAAAUCACCAGAGUUGUGAAGACCUGCAGUUCUGGAAUGCACUUGCCCUAUGAAAACUCACUUGCAUCCUAAUCCUGCAAAUACCUGCAUGUGUGGUGUAAGUUAAGCAUAUGGGGAGUUCUAUUGACUUCAAUGGGGCCACUCGUGCUUAAGUGUUUGUAGUUUUUAGAGCCUCGGUGCAUGAUGCAUGGCUUAGCUGUAUAGUCAAGCUUUUACAUGAA